AGUGAACGCUGGCGGUAGGCCUAACACAUGCAAGUCGAACGGCAGCACAGUAAGAGCUUGCUCUUACGGGUGGCGAGUGGCGGACGGGUGAGGAAUACAUCGGAAUCUACUUUUUCGUGGGGGAUAACGUAGGGAAACUUACGCUAAUACCGCAUACGACCUACGGGUGAAAGCAGGGGAUCUUCGGACCUUGCGCGAUUGAAUGAGCCGAUGUCGGAUUAGCUAGUUGGCGGGGUAAAGGCCCACCAAGGCGACGAUCCGUAGCUGGUCUGAGAGGAUGAUCAGCCACACUGGCACUGAGACACGGUCCAGACUCCUACGGGAGGCAGCAGUGGGGAAUAUUGGACAAGGGGCGCAAGCCUGAUCCGGCCAUACCGCGUGGGUGAAGAAGGCCUUCGGGUUGUAAAGCCCUUUUGUUGGGAAAGAAAAGCAGCAGGUUAAUACCCCGCUGUUCUGACGGUACCCAAAGAAUAAGCACCGGCUAACUUCGUG
rnacentral:rRNA from 1 species